rnacentral:rRNA from 1 species
GAAACACGGACCAAGGAGUUCAACUGGAUUGCGAGUCGUAGAGUAUUAUCACUAAACUCACGCGGCAAAGCGAAAGCAAAAUCGUGCCAACUAUUUUAUUAACAAUGAAUAGUGCAGCACAGGCUGAUUAUGGAUAUGUGCAGAGCUUCGUCUGUGCUCAUACGUUAAACUAUUUUUUACGUUUAAUGAUUAAUCAAGCUAAAGAGCACUUUAGUUGAGACCCGAAAGAUGGUGAACUAUGCUCGGACAUGGUGAAGCCAGGUGAAAACUUGGUGGAAGCUUGCGUUGUGCGGAACUGACGUGCAAAUCGUUGCCGCCUGACCUGAGUAUAGGGGCGAAAGACUCAUCGAACCAUCUAGUAGCUGGUUCCCUCCGAAGUUUCCCUCAGGAUAGCUCGAAUUAAUAUGUUCUAUUCUAAUAUAAACUUACGCGACUCGCGCAAUAAUAUUUAUUACCCGCUAAACACACACACUGCGUUGGUGCCGUAAUAAUAUUUUUAAAACACGCGCGCAGUACGCAAUAAUUAUUUUUUUUAACACGAGUAACACAAGGGUAAAGCAAUGAGACGCGGUAUCUGUGGGUCUUAUUUAAAUGACCUCGGCCUUCUCUCAAACUUUAAAUCUGUGCGACUACAUACGCUUUCUUAGAAAAUUAAUAGUUUUUAUGCUGUUUAAUUGUGAAGCUAUGUUAUUGUAUCUAUAAUUCGUAGUGGGCCAUUUCUGGUAAGCAGAACUGGCGAUGAGGGAUUCAACCUGACGUUCUCAAGAUAAGCCGGGCUUAAUCAUAUCUGCUCCAACCUUCCGAUAAACGCGA